rnacentral:rRNA from 1 species
GCGCGGAAUGAAAGUGAGUUUGGUGGGAUUUUUGCACCAUCAGCCGACCAUGAUCCUUCGGGUGAAAGGUUUGAGUGAAGCUUGUAUUUUGGGACCCGAAAGAUGGUGAACUAUGCCUGAAUAGGGCGAAGCCAGGGGAAACUCUGGUGGAGGCUCGUAGCGAUUCUGACGUGCAAAUCGAUCGUCAAAUUUGGGUAUAGGGGCGAAAGACUAAU